GCAGCUCAAUGGUAGAGCACCUGCUUUGCAUGCAGAAGGUCCCAGGUUCAGUCCCCAGUAUCUCCA
rnacentral:tRNA from 1 species